GGGCCCGUGGUCUAGGGGUUUUGACGUCGCCUUCACAUGGCGAAGUUCGCCAGUUCAAAUCUGGCCGGGCCCA
rnacentral:tRNA from 2 species